rnacentral:rRNA from 1 species
AGUUUGAUCCUGGCUCAGGACGAACGCUGGCGGCGUGCCUAAUACAUGCAAGUCGAGCGCAGGAAGCUCACGGAACUCUUCGGAGGGAAGUGAAGGGAAUGAGCGGCGGACGGGUGAGUAACACGUAAGGAACCUGCCCCAAGGAUUGGGAUAACUCCGAGAAAUCGGAGCUAAUACCGAAUAGUUCUUCAGACCGCAUGGUCUGAUGAUGAAAGGCGCUUCGGCGUCACCUUGGGAUGGCCUUGCGGUGCAUUAGCUAGUUGGUGGGGUAACGGCCCACCAAGGCGACGAUGCAUAGCCGACCUGAGAGGGUGAUCGGCCACACUGGGACUGAGACACGGCCCAGACUCCUACGGGAGGCAGCAGUAGGGAAUCUUCCACAAUGGACGAAAGUCUGAUGGAGCAACGCCGCGUGAGUGAUGAAGGUUUUCGGAUCGUAAAACUCUGUUGUAAGGGAAGAACAGGUAUGAGAGGUAAUGCUCAUGCUAUGACGGUACCUUACGAGAAAGCCACGGCUAACUACGUGCCAGCAGCCGCGGUAAU